rnacentral:tRNA from 1 species
UAAAAGGGUUAGUAUAAUAAUACCACUGACUUAGGAUCAGUAAAUAAGUAACCUCUUACCCUUUAA